CGCCGGUCGAGCGCUGGGAGCCCGGGGCUUCCGGGCGCGCCGAAAGCGGGCGGCUGCCGCUUCAGGGCUCCGGGGCCUCCCCACCACCCUGCUGCAGCCAGAAGACUGGUUGGAGGGCCAUGGGCCCCAGCGACAUCUGGGAGAGACUUUCCGGUGCUGGUGGGUGACACGUGGGCAGAGGGACGUGCACUGAGUGCUGGGAUCCACCCGGGAUUCCUCGCUGAUGUACCUUCUUCUCUGGCCUCUGUGAAUGCCAAUAACUUGAUCUGAAGUGUUCUUCUCCCUGCGCCCCACCUGUUUCCUCCAAGUGGCUCCAAGUGGCUCUGUGUCUCUAGUUCUUCCCUUGUAAGCUUUCCCUGCAGCCUGGGUUCUCGCCUUGUAUUUCAAACGGGAACCUAAUGGGUGGAUGCUUUGCUCUGAGGGUGGGAAUGGACCCACAAGUGCCUGGCUUUUGGGUACCUGGCUGGGUGGCUGCACUGGGGAGCCUUCUGUCUGUAUCUGGGUUCCUCCUUCUGGGCUUGUCAGGUCCAGGUCUGGCUACCUCAUGCUCUGCAAACACUUAACUCCCCUUUUCCCACCAGUACUCACACCCGCAGCUGUGCCUCACGGCCCCCAGGCCAGGGCCCGCUGUUUUAUCCUCUCCAGGUUCUAAACCUCCUGCCUUCCACUGGGGGAAGGUGGGGUCAGAGAGAGGAUCUGGAAACCAACCGCUUCUCCAAUGUCCUACCUAUCUUCUAAUUUAAGUUCACAUUCGUCCCCAGCCCCAAAGGUAUCUGCCUUCACCAGCUCAGAGCGUUUGGAGGGUCCUGUGCCCGAGGCUCUGGUGGCCUCCCGGCUUUGUUUUUUCUGGCCAGUUCAGGGUGCAGCUCUCUCUCGGGCUCACAGAUCCUGCUCAUCCCUCUGUCCUCCAGCUCCCAGAAUUUUGAUACUGUUGUCAAGGGUGAUCAUCAAAAUAUUUAACCAGAGAUCCAAGCGACUGGGCUGGGAGGCUGGAGGAGUCCCGAGGCCCUUCCUGGGCCAGGAAUGAGCCCCUCUGGGUUGGGGGAGGGGGUGCCCCCGACUGGAGCCCUGGGCAGGGCACGACUGGAACAGAUGGGGUUUGCUGUCCCGCUGCUGGCCAGGGGGGCCUGUGUUGUGCUGCGUCUUCUCCUUU